AGAGAGAGAAGAGGGUGAAAAUGAUGAUGAUAAUGUGAAGAAAUGGGGGGAGAUUGCUCUCUUUCUCUUUUUGUUGUUUCUUUUUCUCUUUCUUUCUUCUUCUGCUUUUUUUGGAUUUUUGGAUUCAAAACCAAAACAAAACAAAACAAAAGAAAACCAAGAAGGAGAAACAAACUCAUUUUGGCCCUUUCACAACUCUCAAAACGAGAAAGAAAGAGAGAAAGAG
rnacentral:ribozyme from 13 species